rnacentral:tRNA from 1 species
GUGGUAUCUUUGCUGGCUGAAAUACCAAUGGUUGAAAAACUGGCGGUGGGAUCACCGUAGUUAACAUCUUGUUCAA